rnacentral:rRNA from 1 species
UACAGAGGGUGCGAGCGUUGUCCGGAAUCACUGGGCGUAAAGGGCGCGUAGGCGGUCUGGUAAGCGUGUGGUGAAAGCUCGGGGCUCAACCCCGAGUCGGCCGUGCGAACUGCUGGACUGGAGCAUGUCAGAGGCAGGCGGAAUUCCUGGUGUAGCGGUGAAAUGCGCAGAUAUCAGGAGGAACACCUAUUGCGAAGGCAGCUCGCUGGGACGUAACUGACGCUGAGACGCGAAAGCGUGGGGAGCAAACAGG